CCUUUCAUUUUUUUAUAACUUUUUCAAAUCAACUUAGAUUUUCAUAUAACUGUACAGCUAUCUCAUUUAUAUAUUCAUCUUAAAGAAUGCCAGGUUGUUUUAUAGUUUGGUGUUAAGCUGUCAAAUUUAGGGAAUUAAUUAAUAGGCGAAAAAGGCUGCAUCAAAGUCAAAAACAUGUCUGCCUAUAUUUGCUUAAAAAGACCAUAAUAAAUUUCUU
rnacentral:lncRNA from 1 species